UACGUAGGGGGCAAGCGUUGUCCGGAUUUAUUGGGCGUAAAGAGCUCGUAGGCGGCUUGGCAAGUCGGGUGUGAAAACUCCAGGCUCAACCUGGAGAUGCCACUCGAGACUGCUAUGGCUAGAGUCCGGUAGGGGACCACGGAAUUCCUGGUGUAGCGGUGAAAUGCACAGAUAUCAGGAGGAACACCGGUGGCGAAGGCGGUGGUCUGGGCCGGCACUGACGCUGAGGAGCGAAAGCGUGGGGAGCAAACAGG
rnacentral:rRNA from 1 species